GUGCCAGCCGCCGCGGUAAUACAGAGGGUGCGAGCGUUGUCCGGAAUCACUGGGCGUAAAGGGCGCGUAGGUGGCUUGGUAAGUAGGGGGUGAAAUCUUGCGGCUCAACCGCAAGACUGCCUUCUAAACUGCCUGGCUUGAGCACAGUAGAGGCAGGUGGAAUUCCCGGUGUAGCGGUGGAAUGCGUAGAGAUCGGGAAGAACAUCGGUGGCGAAGGCGGCCUGCUGGGCUGUUGCUGACACUGAGGCGCGACAGCGUGGGGAGCAAACAGGAUUAGAAACCCUGGUAGUCC
rnacentral:rRNA from 1 species